rnacentral:rRNA from 1 species
GACGAAUGCUGGCUGCGUGCUUAACACAUGCAAGUCGAACGGUGAAAGGGAGCUUGCUCCCUGGAUCAGUGGCGAACGGGUGAGUAACACGUGGGCAACCUGCCCCUCACUCUGGGAUAACUCCGGGAAACCGGGGCUAAUACCGGAUACGACCUGGUGCGACAUCGCAACGGGUGGAACGAACAUCGGUGAGGGAUGGGCCCGAGGCCUAUCAGCUUGUUGGUGGGGUAACGGCCCACCAAGGCGACGACGGGUAGCCGGCCUGAGAGGGCGACCGGCCACACGGGGACUGAGACACGGCCCAGACUCCUACGGGAGGCAGCAGUGGGGAAUAUUGCGCAAUGGGCGAAAGCCUGACGCAGCGACGCAGCGUGAGGGACGAAGGCCUUCGGGUUGUAAACCUCUUUCAGCGGGGACGAAGCGAAAGUGACGGUACCCGCAGAAGAAGCACCGGCUAACUACGUGCCAGCAGCCGCAGUAACAC